AAUCUAUAGCUAUUAAAAAUGUAUCAAAGUUGUUAAUCGCAAAUGUCUGUGUUUUGUUCCAGAUGUCAUAUUUAAUUAGUGCUAAUGUUGUUUGUUUGUUAUUAAAAUGCACGUUUUCUUACUCAAUAUAAUCGUUUUUGAGCUUUUAGUCUGUGAUUGUCAUGAAUAUGGUUUCACGUAGCUGCAGUAUACACCUUAUUUUUGACGUAAAUGUGGGUGCCGCCAUGUUUAAACUUCUUUGUGUAAGCCAUCCGGUGAGCCGCUGAAGUUAACGGUAGUCUAUAGGGGAUUAUCACACUGAUACGUACUACUUCAGUUUUCAGUGAUCUUUGUGCAUGUCCACUUCCAGUGAAUGACUUAAUUUUAGAAAUAUAGAUUAAUUUAGGGUUUAGUUAUUUCUGUUAAUCUAGUUUUAUUUUAAUGGUCCGGCCCGGCUACAGGCUAUAGACAUCAGUUCACUUUUGUAACCGUAUGGAACUGUAUGGUGCUGAGAUGCACCCAAUGAUGUUUUUGUACUGCUGUUCAUGGUAUUUUUGCAAUUUUUUUAUGUAAUAGAAAACCCUGCUAUUAUGUAAUUCUUCUUUUAGGAGCCAUUUUCACAUAAGAUGGAAAGGCGUGUAAAUAAAAAAUUGCCAUUUAAAAAAAAACUCACACCAGAGGGACAGUUGUGACAUUUUUAUCCAUUGCCUGAAAAGGUUAAAUACACAAAUUCUUGGUCUAUUCUAUGUAUAAACACUCGACUGACUUUGUUUGUUGUAAAGAUACUGUUAUGUAUUCUAUGUUUGAUUUUAAGAAUUGUAAAUUGUAGCUUUUUAAGUGCAUGUUUAAAGGGAUAGUUGGCCCAAAAAUGAAAAUUCAUCAUCAUUCAUUCAGUCAAUUGCUCAGUCUUUUAUGUUGUUACAAACCUAUUUAUAUUUAUUUGUUCUGAUAAGCAUGAAGGAAGAUUUGAGGAAUGUUUGUAGGUUAACCAAUCAUGAGCUCCUUUCACUUCCAUGCUAGGAAAAAGUACUAUGAAACUGAGUAGGGUUCAUGAAUGGUUUGUAAACAUGCCUAAAAAUACAGGUUUGUAACAACAUGGGACUGAGUAAAUAAUGAUCAAAUUUAAAUUUUUGGGUAAUGCAGCAUUGCUAACUAACUUUUUUUUUUGCGGUUUAUGUGAAAUGGUGAACCAAUGGAAGCAGUACUGAGAAGACUCAGAAUUCAUCUAAGAUGCCACGCGGAAAGGGUUUCCGGCGGUCCCAGGCGGCGAAGAGGAGGAUUGCUGACCGUUAUUCGGUGGAAUCCUCCACUGACUUGGUUGAGGUUGUGCCACCUCUAAAAAGAGAGGCACCUCCCCACAGCUCUGCAACACAGAGCGCUGACACUAAGAACUAUGACACUAAGAACUAUGACACUAAGAACUAUGACACUAAGAACUAUGACACUGAAACAAAUGACACUGAAACAAAUGACACUGAAACAAAUGACACUGAAACAAAUGACACUGAAACAAAUGACACUGAAAACUGUGACAAUGAGAACUAUGAAAAUGGCCAUAAGGCUGCUGAAAAUGAUGCAAAAUAUACCAAAAGUCUUCCAAAGUAUGAAAAUGGCCGUAAGGCUGCUGAAAAUGAUGCAAAAUGUACUACAAGUCUUCCAAUGUGUACCAAAACUCUUCCAACGUCUAAAAAAACCUACAGUGAUAUUGUGAAAACUUUGCAUGUCAAUAAUUCUGAUCAAUUUUUACAGAAAGUCAUACAAGGUUCCUUCCAUCAGGGUGAUGAGCGGUUUGGUUUCAACCGUAACAGACAGUGUGCAGUAAAUAGCAUCACGGCCGUAAUGAUGAGCGAGCUGAAGAAUGUGCUGACAUGGACGACAGAGGACCUGAAUGCUGUUCUAACGCAAGGAGAUGAGCUGUACACAUGUAUGAGACUGCAGGGGAAGAUCAAUGAUGACACAGGCCGGGGACAUGUGUCCGUUGCAGAAUUGCCAACCGUGCACACACUGUACAACACAAUAUUUUCAAUAAACCGUGCUGAAUCUUU